rnacentral:rRNA from 1 species
AAUGAACGCUGGCGGCGCGCCUAAUACAUGCAAGUCGAGCGAGAAGACGUAGCAAUACGUUUGUAAAGCGGCGAACGGGUGAGGAAUACAUGGGUAACCUACCCUCGAGUGGGGAAUAACUAGCCGAAAGGUUAGCUAAUACCGCGUACGCUUCUUGGACUUCGGUUCAGGGAGGAAAGCGAUGCCGAGGGUAUCGCGCUCUUGGAUGGGCUCAUGUCCUAUCAGCUUGUUGGGAGGUACGGCUCACCAAGGCUUCGACGGGUAGCUGGUCUGAGAGGACGAUCAGCCACACUGGCACUGCGACGACGGGCCA